UUAUGAUUCCCAUUUUACAGAUGAGAAAACAGAGGCUCAGGGAUGGGAAGUCACUUGCCUGUGAUCACAUGACAGAUGAGCAAUCAGGAUGGGAUUUAAGCCAGGUCAUACUGUUUCCAAAGGAUUUGGUAAAUCUCCAAACUUACUGCCUUAGUUUGGGUUCUCCAGGAAACAGACUCAGAAAGAGCUUGAGUGUAGGUAGUUUUUGUGGGGGGUGAUCUCAGGAGGCAGGAGUGAAGGAGCUGGGAGAGCAAGGCAAGAAGGUAGGAAACACCAGCAUAAGGGUGCUUGCUGUGGUUUCAGGUCUUAACUCUGCAGGAUCUCUUAGAGACCAGGGCAGUUACUACCACCAGCGUCAGUCCCUGCCUGGUUGAAUGUGCUCGUAAGGGUGUUAAUUCUCUUCCACUUUCAGGAUGUGUCUGAAGAGGGCUGAGUAGACUCCAGAGAAUCUGAAAAAGACUUUGAGUCAAAAAGCAGAAAGAAGCUUAGCAAAUGCAUGAAAUAGGUGCCGUCAGCAUGAGUCUCAUGAACCGGACUCCACAGCUGCAGCUGAGUGUGUAGGUGGCCUGAGGGAUGCGGUGCCGGCCACUGACACCAACAACUCUGUUACACUUAUUCUAGCUCAAGUUCUUUUUCCUCCUUCUUCACCAUGACCUUGUGAGUUAGGAGAUCAGUUUUCAACUUUCUAGCUGGAAAGGUUGAGGCUGUGAAUUGUCAAUGACUUGCCAGAAGGCACACAGUAAACAGUGCCCUUGGGACCUCUGUUUAGAGGAAGAGCUUCACAUUUAGCUUGCUUUCUAUUGUGACUCACUCUGUUCAACUAAGUUAUGAACAAGCCUCGAUGCACAAGGAUGAAAGAAAUCAGAUUUGAGAAAGCCCAGUCUUCACCCAUGGACAGCUGAGAAAGGCAUGAGACAGGAAUAUUAUAAUUCAUCUAUAAGAAAGUGCUCAUCUAAAGAAGAAAAUGCUAGCCAGACUUCCUCUGAGACACAGCCAGAAUCUUCAGCAAAUGUGCAAAAACAGAUUGAGCAACCCAUGAUCCUGUAGGUUUCCAGUUUUGUCUUCACUCUCUGAACAGGGAAGGAAAAGACUUGAGGCAAGUCUCUAGAUUUCAAUCAUCCAGGAAGCAAUUCUGGGUGAUAAUAAGAGAGACUGGCAAAAAAGGGGGAAAGAGGGGAAAUUACUGGCUUGGUCAAAGCUUGCAAAAUGGCACCAGUGAUUAAAACAUCUUAUGCUGUCCUCGGGCUGCAGAAGCUAUCACUGACAAAAGAGCUCAUACACACACACACAAAAGGAAAGAAAUUAGCCAUUAAGAAAUAUUUCAGCAUAAUGCAAUUAUUACAGCUGUAUAAUUGAAUGGGGAAACCAUUGAUCUGUAGUAGAAAGGAAAUUGCUCUUCUCAUUGUGUUCCUAUGAAUAUGUGAACAUUAAUCUCCAUCUAUAAUCAACGUUCAUUUCAAAUCUGAUUGCAUGCUACUAAACACCCGUAGCUAUGCUAACAUUAUGUUAAUAUGGUUCAACAUCAUAGCUCCCAGCUUCACAGCACAAAUAUUUUUCUUUGGCAAUCAAUAGUAAUUUCAGCUGAGUGGAUGGAAGUCACGUUUUAAUGGUAAUCUUUCCUCCAAGCCUCCAAGUGGAAACUCAGUUGGUGUCUUAACAUGGCUGCAGCAUGUUGCAUAUAAUCAGAUAAAUUAACCUGAAAAGAAAUAGAGAGAGAGGAAGGAAGGGAGGGGACAUGGAUCAGAAAUAAGGAGGAAGCUUAGCAAAACUCUAGCUAAUAGAUGAAAGUGUACAUUAGGUAGAAAAAGAGUGAGGAUGAAUGGGUAGAUGGGACAGAGUGAAUGUGUGUCGGAGGGGCAUGCAGGAAGGGUUGUUAAGAAAUGAGACUGUGUUCCUUCUGGCUAUAAGUCAAUGGGAUGGGAUGGAGCAGCCAGGAUCCUGGGCAAUUUGGAUUUUGCCAAAGCAACCAAGAUACAUGAGGAAGGAAUAGGAAACUUAACAAACAUGGGUGGAUGGCAUACCGAGUCAUCUCUGCUUGGAAGAGUUCACUCAGAUAUCUCCUCCUUCUCAUAUCCACACGUUCAUUUACAGCAAACAAUAGAAAAUAUAGAAAAUUUUAUAGAUUUCUAUAUCUAUAAAACAUACAGAUAAUUUUGAAAGUGAAAAAAAUUUAUAAGGGAGAAUCUUUUAUUUUUAAGCAUGGCUACUGCUGGACACCAAGAAUAUGAAGAUGAACGAAUGUCAUCUCUGAUCACUAAGAGUUGAUGACCCAGAGUGGGAGAAGAAAGAUAAACAACUCACAGUAUCAACCCACAUCUCCUGGGAUCCUCCUCCUUCCCCUGGCCAUAAUAAUCCUCUCCCUUCAUAUUUUUUUAAAAGAAGAGAGAGAAGAGGGAGAAGCAUUUUGGUUACAUUCAUUCCUCAAGCACUUUUUUCAGCCCCAGAAACCUAAAUGAUGGAAAUUCUCAGACACAAUCAUUGGCUCCAUUCCCACAUCCAAGGACAAUGCCCUCCACAACCCCCGUUUUUUUACAUACCUUGUCUAAGACUGAAAUCAGAGGCUCCUUCUGUGAUAAGAAUCAAAGUUACAACCUUUAUGUAUGCAGGUUGUUUAUAAUAAGGCAAAGGAAAAUAAAACCUAAGUAUUCUCAGCCUCUUCACCUGCUCUUUCAAAGAAAUCUGGAGUUGUCACUUCCCUUCACAGCUCCCCCAGCCCCUGGCGCUCUCCUUCCUGGCUCCUGUUUUGAAGAUCAGGGGAAGAGAACAUUCUCCUAAGGACAGCAGGGUAUCCAUUGAUAUAAGAAGGGAAAUCCAGAGGUGAGGGGACAGUGAACCAAUGAUACAGCACAAGGAGGACCCUGCAGGACAAAAGACCAUUAGUAUUAAGUGUUUCCUUGUUUGAGGAGUUCAGAAAGAGGAGAAAAAUCCUGAAAGAGAAACUGCCAAGGAUAUAGAAAAUACUGAAAAUGAUGGUUAUAGGGAAACAGAUUUUUUUGUUUGUUUUUUGACGGAGUCUUGCUGUCGCCCAGGCUGGAGCACAGUGGCAGGAUCUCAGCACAUGGCAGCCUCCACCUCUCAGGUACAAGCAAUUCUCCUGCCUCAGCCUCCUGAAUAGCUGGGAUUACAGGUGCCUGCCACCAUGCCCAGCUAAUUCUUUUGUAUUGUUGGCCAGGCUGGUCUUGAACUCCUGACUUCAAGUGAUCCGCCUGCUUCGGCCUCCCAAAGUGCUGGGAUUACUGGCACAAGCCACUGCACCCAGCUAGGUAACAGAAUUUUAAAAGCUUUUUCUGUAUAUUUUGCAGCUUGUCCCACUCUGUCUUUCUCUAAAAAGACCUCAGUAAGAAAAUUAAUAUCCUUUUCCUAUUUGUUUUGCUCUUUAUAAUCCCGAAGUGAAUAAAGAUUUCCAUUGCUUUUCCCUGUUUAUUUUUUAUAAUUUCAAAAUGCCUUGUGUAGGAUGACAGUGAUUAUGAUUAUUAUCAAAUAGAAUUUACGUAACAAUAUCAGGAACUAUUCAGUUUCCUCUCUCAAACCCAUCCCUCUCUUUUUAUCCCUAAAACUCUUGCCCACCUUUAAUCUUCUGAGCUCUCCUUGAAUUAUUGCACCUGCCUCCUCCUGUCCUCACUAAACUCAGUGUUACUCCCUUCUCAUCUGUCACCUGCAAAAUAGCCAAUAAAGCUAGCACAAUUGGGCACAAUUUUUAAGGCAUUUGAAAAUUAAGGAUCCAGAGCAUGAAAACGGG
rnacentral:lncRNA from 10 species